rnacentral:rRNA from 1 species
UACGUAGGUGGCAAGCGUUGUCCGGAUUUACUGGGCGUAAAGGAUGCGUAGGUGGAUAUUUAAGUGGGAUGUGAAAUACCCGGGCUUAACCUGGGUGCUGCAUUCCAAACUGGAUGUCUAGAGUGCGGGAGAGGUAAGUGGAAUUCCUAGUGUAGCGGUGAAAUGCGUAGAGAUUAGGAAGAACACCAGUGGCGAAGGCGACUUACUGGACCGUAACUGACACUGAGGCAUGAAAGCGUGGG